rnacentral:rRNA from 1 species
CGGCAGGCUUAACACAUGCAAGUCGAGGGGUAACGACAUCUUCGGAUGGGCGACGACCGGCGCACGGGUGCGUAACGCGUAUGCAACCUACCUUUAACUGGAGGAUAGCCCCGAGAAAUCGGGAUUAAUACUCCAUAGAAAUGAGAUUCGGCAUCGUUUUUCAUUUAAAGCUCCGGCGGUUAGAGAUGGGCAUGCGUGACAUUAGUUAGUUGGUGAGGUAACGGCUCACCAAGACUACGAUGUCUAGGGGUUCUGAGAGGAUGAUCCCCCACACUGGUACUGAGACACGGACCAGACUCCUACGGGAGGCAGCAGUGAGGAAUAUUGGUCAAUGGACGCAAGUCUGAACCAGCCAUGCCGCGUGCAGGAUGACGGCCCUAUGGGUUGUAAACUGCUUUUAUUAAGGAAUAAACCCCCGGACUUGUUCGGGGCUGAACGUACUUAAAGAAUAAGCAUCGGCUAACUCCGUGCCAGCAGCCGCGGUAAUACGGAGGAUGCAAGCGUUAUCCGGAUUCAUUGGGUUUAAAGGGUUCGCAGGCGGCGUAUUAAGUCAGUGGUGAAAUCCCUCGGCUCAACCGAGGAACUGCCAUUGAUACUGGUAUGCUAGAGUAUAGUUGGCGUAGGCGGAAUAUUUCAUGUAGCGGUGAAAUGCUUAGAUAUGAAAUAGAACACCGAUCGCGAAGGCAGCUUACGAAACUAUAACUGACGCUCAGGAACGAAAGCGUGGGGAGCGAACAGGAUUAGAUACCC